UACCAGCACCCCGAGUGGUCGGGACGUUUAUUGGGCCUAAAGCAUCCGUAGCCGGUUCUACAAGUCUUCCGUUAAAUCCACCUGCUUAACAGAUGGGCUGCGGAAGAUACUAUAGAGCUAGGAGGCGGGAGAGGCAAGCGGUACUCGAUGGGUAGGGGUAAAAUCCGUUGAUCCAUUGAAGACCACCAGUGGCGAAGGCGGCUCACUGGCCCGAUACUGACGCUGAGGUGCGAAAGCGUGGGGAGCAAACAGG
rnacentral:rRNA from 1 species